UGAGCCUAAGGGAUGGUUU
rnacentral:piRNA from 1 species